rnacentral:snRNA from 1 species
AUGUGCUUGCUUCAUCUGCAUAUGUGUACUCAAACUGGGGUGAUAGAGUGAACACGAACAUGGAACCUGCUCAAAGAUGGCUUGCAAAUUUAAGAAGUGUUCUCUGUAUAU